rnacentral:rRNA from 1 species
CUGCCCGUGAUAAGCGGGAGGAAGGUGUGGAUGACGUCAAGUCUUCAUGGCCCUUACGGGUUGGGCUACACACGUGCUACAAUGGCAAGUACAGUGGGUUAAUCCCCAAAACUUGUCUCAGUUCGGAUUGGGGUCUGCAACUCGACCCCAUGAAGUCGGAAUCGCUAGUAAUCGCGGAACAGCAUGCCGCGGUGAAUACGUUCCCGGGCCUUGCACACACCGCCCGU